AGCUGAGGUGUCGUGUCGUGUCGUGAGCUGAGGUGUCGUGUCGUGUCCUGAGCUGAGGUGUCGUGUCGUGUCCUGAGCUGAGGUGUCGUGUCGUGUCGUGUCCUGAGCUGAGGUGUCGUGUCGUGUCGUGUCCUGAGCUGAGGUGUCGUGUCGUGUCGUGUCCUGAGCUGAGGUGUCGUGUCGUGUCGUGUCCUGAGCUGAGGUGUCGUGUCGUGUCGUGUCCUGAGCUGAGGUGUCGUGUCGUGUCGUGUCCUGAGCUGAGGUGUCGUGUCGUGUCGUGUCCUGAGCUGAGGUGUCGUGUCGUGUCCUGAGCUGAGGUGUCGUGUCGUGUCCUGAGCUGAGGUGUCGUGUCGUGUCCUGAGCUGAGGUGUCGUGUCGUGUCGUGUCCUGAGCUGAGGUGUCGUGUCGUGUCCUGAGCUGAGGUGUCGUGUCGUGUCGUGUCCUGAGCUGAGGUGUCGUGUCGUGUCGUGUCCUGAGCUGAGGUGUCGUGUC